rnacentral:tRNA from 1 species
ACGGGUUUAGCUCAGUUGGUAGAGCACUGGUCUCCAAAACCAGGUGUCGAGGGUUCAAGUCCUUCAACCCGUGC